CAAUUUAAUUGAAAAAUUGAUUUGAUCAUGUGAUGCAAUUAGCACCAUUCACAAUAAUUUUAGUGUAGCUUGCAAGCAGGUACCCAACCUCCAUCCCUCCAAACAAUCCACAAUGCCACGAGUCAAUCCAAGCCGCGACGAAACUCGCAAAUCAGAAGAAAUCGAUACUGACGAAGAAAGAGAGAGGCGCAUUAGGAAGGAAAAGAAUAAGAACAAAAAGAAGGAUUCGAAAGGAUCUACCAAUUCCACUGAACCUGGCGGCGGUGGAGGAUGUGGAUGUGCUUCACCCGGAGGAGGAGGCUGUUGCAGAAGAUGAAAGAAGCCCAGAAAUGAAUACCGAAUGCAAAAUGGCAGCUACAUAAUAAAAAUUAAAAAUAAU